rnacentral:rRNA from 1 species
UACGUAGGGUGCAAGCGUUGUCCGGAAUUAUUGGGCGUAAAGGGCUCGUAGGCGGUCCGUCACGUCGGGAGUGAAAUCCUGGGGCUUAACCCCAGAACUGCUUCCGAUACGGGCAGACUAGAGGUAGGUAGGGGAGACUGGAAUUCCUGGUGUAGCGGUGAAAUGCGCAGAUAUCAGGAGGAACACCGGUGGCGAAGGCGGGUCUCUGGGCCGAAACUGACGCUGAGGAGCGAAAGCGUGGGGAGCAAACAGG